UACGGAGGGUGCAAGCGUUGUCCGGAUUUAUUGGGUUUAAAGGGUGCGUAGGUGGUUUGAUAAGUCCGGGGGUGAAAGCCCACAGCUCAACUGUGGAACUACCCUGGAUACUGUCAGACUUGAGGGUAGACGAGGUUGGCGGAAUAGAAGGUGUAGCGGUGAAAUGCAUAGAUACCUUCUAGAACCCCGAUUGCGUAGGCAGCUGACUAGGCUACACCUGACACUGAGGCACGAAAAGCGGUGGGGAGCGAACAGG
rnacentral:rRNA from 1 species